rnacentral:rRNA from 1 species
AUACGGAGGGUGCAAGCGUUAUUCGGAAUCACUGGGCGUAAAGGACGCGUAGGCGGGUUGGCAAGUCAGAUGUGAAAUCCUACAGCUUAACUGUAGAACUGCAUUUGAAACUGCUAAACUAGAGUAUGGGAGGGGGAGAUGGAAUUAGUGGUGUAGGGGUAAAAUCCGUAGAUAUCACUAGGAAUACCGAAAGCGAAGGCGAUCUUCUGGAACAUAACUGACGCUAAGGCGUGAAAGCGUGGGGAGCAAACAGGAUUAGAUACCCGAGUAGUCC